rnacentral:rRNA from 1 species
GACAGAGGGUGCAAACGUUGUUCGGAAUUACUGGGCGUAAAGCGCGUGUAGGCGGCCAUCUAAGUCGGGCGUGAAAUCCCACGGCUCAACCGUGGAAGUGCACUCGAAACUGGAUGGCUAGAGUCCUGGAGAGGAAGGUGGAAUGCUUGGUGUAGAGGUGAAAUUCGUAGAUAUCAAGCGGAACACCGGUGGCGAAAGCGGCCUUCUGGGACAGUGACUGACGCUGAGACGCGAAAGCGUGGGGAGCAAACAGGGA